ACUCAAAUGAAUUGACGGGGACUUGCACAAGCAGUGGAUUAUGUGGUUUAAUUCGAUGGUAAACGAAGAACCUCACCAGGGUUUGAAACCUACGUGAAAGCUCUAAGAAACUAGAGCCCUCGCAAGACUAGUAGGCAGGUGAUGCAUGGCCGUCGUCAGUUCGUGGUUUGAAUUGUUCCCUUAAGUGGGGUAACGAACGCAACCCUCGUCGUGUGUUACAAGUGUCACACGAGACCGCCCCGACCUUUGUCCGCGAAGCAAGUAUGCUUACGCACAAAGGUCGGGGAGGAAGGAGAGGAUGACGCCAGGUCAGCAUGUCCCUUUGAUAUCCUGGGCUACACACAUAAUACAAUCGUCAUUACAACAGGUCGCGACGGAGUAAUCCUGAGCCAAUCCUUAGAAAAAUGGCGCCAGUUCGGAUUGAGGUCUGCAACUCGACCUCAUGAAGUUGGAAUUGCUAGUAAUCGCGGGUCAGAUAUACCGCGGUGAAUACGUUCUCAAGUCUUGUACACACCGCCCGU
rnacentral:rRNA from 1 species